rnacentral:rRNA from 1 species
GUAGGGUGCAAGCGUUAUCCGGAUUUAUUGGGCGUAAAGGGUUUCGUAGGCUGUUUGGUAAGUAGCGGGUUAAAGCCCCAGGCUCAACUUGGGAAAAGCUCGUUAAACUACCAGACUAGAAAGUUGUCGGGGAAGCUGGAAUUCUGCAUGUAGGGGUGAAAUCCGUUGAUAUGCAGAAGAACACCGAGGGCGAAGGCAGGCUUCUAGGCAAAUUUUUGACGCUAAGGAACGAAAGCUAGGGUAGCGAAUGGGAUUAGAGACCCCAGUAGUCCUAGCCGUAAACGAUGUCCGCUAGUUUCCCGACCUUAAAGUUGGGGGACGUAAGCUAACGCGUUAAGCGGACCGCCUGGGAAUUACGGCCGCAAGGCUA